rnacentral:rRNA from 1 species
UCCGUAGGGGGGACCUGCGGAGGGAUCAUUACCGAGUUUACAACUCCCAAACCCAAUGUGAACGUUACCAAACUGUUGCCUCGGCGGGAUCUCUGCCCCGGGUGCGUCGCAGCCCCGGACCAAGGCGCCCGCCGGAGGACCAACCAAAACUCUUAUUGUAUACCCCCUCGCGGGUUUUUUUUAUAAUCUGAGCCUUCUCGGCGCCUCUCGUAGGCGUUUCGAAAAUGAAUCAAAACUUUCAACAACGGAUCUCUUGGUUCUGGCAUCGAUGAAGAACGCAGCGAAAUGCGAUAAGUAAUGUGAAUUGCAGAAUUCAGUGAAUCAUCGAAUCUUUGAACGCACAUUGCGCCCGCCAGUAUUCUGGCGGGCAUGCCUGUCCGAGCGUCAUUUCAACCCUCGAACCCCUCCGGGGGGUCGGCGUUGGGGAUCGGCCCUGCCUUGGCGGUGGCCGUCUCCGAAAUACAGUGGCGGUCUCGCCGCAGCCUCUCCUGCGCAGUAGUUUGCACACUCGCAUCGGGAGCGCGGCGCGUCCACAGCCGUUAAACACCCAACUUCUGAAAUGUUGACCUCGGAUCAGGUAGGAAUACCCGCUGAACUUAAGCAUAUCAAAAGGCCGGAGGAA